AACGAACGCUGGCGGCGUGCCUAAUACAUGCAAGUCGAGCGAAUCACUGGGAGCUUGCUCCCGGUGGUUAGCGGCGGACGGGUGAGUAACACGUGGGCAACCUGCCUGUAAGACUGGGAUAACACCAGGAAACCGGUGCUAAUACCGGAUAAUCCUUUCCUGCACAUGCAGGAAAGCUGAAAGUCGGUUUCGGCUGACACUUACAGAUGGGCCCGCGGCGCAUUAGCUAGUUGGUGAGGUAACGGCUCACCAAGGCGACGAUGCGUAACCGACCUGAGAGGGUGAUCGGCCACACUGGGACUGAGACACGGCCCAGACUCCUACGGGAGGCAGCAGUAGGGAAUCUUCCACAAUGGACGGAAGUCUGAUGGAGCAACGCCGCGUGAGCGAUGAAGGCCUUCGGGUCGUAAAGCUCUGUUGUUAGGGAAGAACAAGUACCGGAGUAUCUGCCGGUACCUUGACGGUACCUAACCAGAAAGCCACGGCUAACUACGUGCCAGCCGCCGCCGUAACAC
rnacentral:rRNA from 1 species